rnacentral:rRNA from 1 species
AGAGUUUGAUCCUGGCUCAGAACGAACGCUGGCGGCGUGCCUAACACAUGCAAGUCGCACGAGAAAGGUCCUUCGGGGACAAUAGCGGCGGACGGGUGAGUAACACGUGAGUAACGUGCCUGAAAGUGGGGGAUAGCCUUCCGAAAGGAAGAUUAAUGCCGCAUGACAUCACAUUGAGGCAUCUCAAAGUGAUGAAAGGAGUAAUCCGGUAUAAGAUGGGCCCGCGGCGCAUUAGCUAGUUGGUGAGGUAACGGCUCACCAAGGCAACGAUGCGUAGCCGACCUGAGAGGGUGAUCGGCCACAUUGGGACUGAGACACGGCCCAGACUCCUACGGGAGGCAGCAGUGGGGAAUAUUGCACAAUGGGGGAAACCCUGAUGCAGCAACGCCGCGUGAGUGAUGAAGGCCUUCGGGUUGUAAAGCUCUGUCUUCGGGGACGAUAAUGACGGUACCCAAGGAGGAAGCCACGGCUAACUACGUGCCAGCAGCCGCGGUAACACGUAGGUGGCAAGCGUUGUCCGGAUUUACUGGGCGUAAAGGAUGCGUAGGCGGAUUUUUAAGUGAGAUGUGAAAUACCCGGGCUCAACCUGGGGGCUGCAUUUCAAACUGGAAAUCUAGAGUGCAGGAGAGGAGAAGGGAAUUCCUAGUGUAGCGGUGAAAUGCGUAGAGAUUAGGAAGAACACCAGUGGCGAAGGCGACUUUCUGGACUGUAACUGACGCUGAGGCACGAAAGCGUGGGGAGCAAACAGGAUUAGAUACCCUGGUAGUCCACGCCGUAAACGAUGGAUACUAGGUGUGGGAGGUUUAACUCCUUCCGUGCCGCCGUUAACACAUUAAGUAUCCCGCCUGGGGAGUACGGUCGCAAGAUUAAAACUCAAAGGAAUUGACGGGGACCCGCACAAGCAGCGGAGCAUGUGGUUUAAUUCGAAGCAACGCGAAGAACCUUACCAAAUCUUGACAUCCUCUGAAUUACCAGUAAUGUGGGAAGUCCUUCGGGGACAGGAACACAGGUGGUGCAUGGUUGUCGUCAGCUCGUGUCGUGAGAUGUUGGGUUGAGUCCCCCAACGAGCGCAACCCAUAUCUUUAGUUGUCAUGGUAAUGCUGGACCCUCUAGAGAGACUGCCGGUGAUAAACCGGAGGAAGGUGGGGAUGACGUCAAAUCAUCAUGCCCCUUAUGAUUUGGGCUACACACGUGCUACAAUGGUCGGUACAACAGGCAGCGAAAGGGUAACCUGGAGCGAAUCCUCUAAAGCCGAUCUCAGUUCGGAUUGUGGGCUGCAACUCGCCCACAUGAAGUUGGAGUUGCUAGUAAUCGUGAAUCAGAAUGUCGCGGUGAAUGCGUUCCCGGGUCUUGUACACACCGCCCGUCACACCAUGGAAGUUGGGGGCGCCCGAAGUCAGUGAUCUAACCCGUAAGGGAGGAAGCUGUCGAAGGUGAAACCAAUGACUAGGGUGAAGUCGGAACAAGGUAGCCGUAGGAGA